rnacentral:rRNA from 1 species
GUCUAUGGCCAUGCCACCCUGAACAUGCCCAAUCUUGUCUGAUCUUGGAAGCUAAGCAGGGUCGUGCUUGGUUAGUACUUGGAUGGGAGACCACCUAGGAAUACCAGGUGCUGUAGACG